GCGCUACUGGACCGGUUGCCGGAUCUGCGGCUAGACCCGAACGCACCGAAGCCGCGGGUCGUCGGGGUGGCGUUCCGGUCGCCGGUCGCGCU
rnacentral:tRNA from 1 species